GACGAACGCUGGCGACGCGCUUAACACAUGCAAGUCGAACGGAAAGGCCUGCUUUCCCUUGUGGAUUGCGGGUACUCGAGUGGCGAACGGGUGAGUAACACGUGAGUGAUCUGCCCCCAACUUGGGUAUAAGCCUGGGAAACUGGGUCUAAUUCCCGAUAGGACUGCAGGGUGGUGCCUGUGGUGGAAAACGAUUUUCUAGUGGUUGGGGAUGAGCUCGCGGCCUAUCAGCUUGUUGGUGGGGUAAUGGCCUACCAAGGCGGCGACGGGUAGCCGGCCUGAGAGGGUGGACGGCCACAUUGGGACUGAGAUACGGCCCAGACUCCUACGGGAGGCAGCAGUGGGGAAUAUUGCACAAUGGGCGGAAGCCUGAUGCAGCGACGCCGCGUGGGGGACGACGGCCUUCGGGUUGUAAACUCCUUUCGACCGCGAGGAAGCCACCUGGUUGGAAGGGUGGUGACGGUAGUGGUAGAAGAAGCACCGGCUAACUACGUG
rnacentral:rRNA from 1 species